rnacentral:rRNA from 1 species
UACGGGGGGGGCAAGCGUUGUUCGGAAUUACUGGGCGUAAAGGGCUCGUAGGCGGCCAACUAAGUCGGACGUGAAAUCCCUCGGCUCAACCGGGGAACUGCGUCCGAUACUGGAUGGCUCGAGUUCGGGAGAGGGAUGCGGAAUUCCAGGUGUAGCGGUGAAAUGCGUAGAUAUCAUUUGGAACGCCAACGGAGAAAUCAGGUAGCUGGGGGUGUGCUGACGCUGAGACACGAAAGCCAGGGGAGCGAACGGG